CAUUUCUUUGUGUGAAGAGUCAAGAACAUUACUUGGGUGACACUAAAGAUGAACACUUCUCCAGCUUUAGUGACUAUGAUGCUGCUAUUCAUACUUGGAAGAACUCAUGGAGACUCAGUGACCCAGAAACAAGGUCAAGUCACUCUCUCAGAAGACGACUUCCUAUUUAUAAACUGCACUUAUUCAACCACAGGGUACCCAAGUCUAUUCUGGUAUGUCCAAUAUCCUGGAGAAGGUCCUGAGCUGCUUUUGAAAGUCACAACAGCCAACAACAAGGGAAACAACAGAGGUUUUGAAGCUACAUAUGAUAAAGAAUCCACUUCCUUCCACUUACAGAAAGCUGCUGUCAAAGAGUCAGACUCAGCUGUGUACUACUGUGCUCUGAGUGACACAGUGACAGAAACUGCAGGGGGAGCUGAGUACAAACUCAGAGGAGCAAAAGAAAGUUUGGCUUCUGAUGAUCAUGGAAACAAUGAAGUUCUCAGUUGCCUUGAUCUCCAUAUACAAGUCAUUGUCUUCACUCAAGUAAUUCACAAUGAGCUAAAUAUGGCAGGAAAUGUGGCGUCUAGAUUAUGUCUAUUUAAUACUAUAGAAGGACAGAUUAUCUAA